UACGGAGGGUGCGAGCGUUGUCCGGAAUCAUUGGGCGUAAAGGGCGCGUAGGUGGCGGGACAAGCGUGCGGUGAAAGCUCGGGGCUCAACCCCGAGUCGGCCGUGCGAACUGUUUUGCUUGAGCACUGUAGAGGCAGGCGGAAUUCCGGGUGUAGCGGUGGAAUGCGUAGAGAUCCGGAAGAACACCGGUGGCGAAGGCGGCCUGCUGGGCAGUAGCUGACACUGAGGCGCGACAGCGUGGGGAGCAACAGG
rnacentral:rRNA from 1 species